AUCGCUUCUCGGCCUUUUGGCUAAGAUCAUGUGUAGUAUCUGUUCUUAUCAGUUUAAUAUCUGAUACGUCCUCUAUCCGAGGACAAUAUAUUAAAUGGGUUUUGGGAGGGGAGGGGAGGGGAGAUAGUAGACAAUAGGACAGACAGCAGAAUACAUCAGACACUAGAAAGGCAAUAUGUCAAUCAAU
rnacentral:snRNA from 1 species